rnacentral:tRNA from 1 species
AGUUAAAAAGCUAUUAAGAAUUAGCCCAAUGUCUUGAAAACAAUGUGAAAGAAGUUUAAAUCUUCUAUUAACUU